GGUUUAUCUUGGUUUGUCUGAAUGUAACACAUUUUUGAGUUGAGUCACAUUGCCUUGAAAGUAAACAUACUAGCAAGAUGCCAUGGGAUUGUGGGUAAUUGUGUGUCCCUUGAGUUCAUAUUUCUUUGUUUCUUGUUCCUGUGUUGGUGUCUAGAGGUGUUUGUGUGUUUGUCUCUAGCCAGAUUAUUUAAAUGGCAUAGUUCAUAUAUUGGUACCUUUUGCUAAUUUAUCAAACACUGCAACAUAAACUCAUAAACGUAUUACCUACUGUAGGACGAAAGAUUUUGACUUCGCCAGAAACAUUUCAUUAUAAAUUCCCCCAAAAUGAUGACAUUAGCUUGCCUUAGACUUUUAUAUUUGAAAUAUUCUACAAAAUCAUACUCUUCAAGUUCUCUUGAAGGGAUGUUGUAGAAUCUAGUUUUAGUGAAAGUGUCUGUCCUAACCGAUGCCAUGCUGAAGAUUACGGAUAUAGUUACAUUAUGGUUAUAUCCAAAUUAAAUACCUUGACUGACAGAAAAAUCUAUCUUUUUUUUGUCUCUUUCAGAAUAUGACAUCGUUUUUCCUCUAUAUAACCAUUAUAUUUGUUACGCUACUUGGGCGUACCUAUAAUGGUAAGACACCUAACCUAUUUUGUUGACUAUUGUAAUUACCUUGUCCAAGAGACAUUUUAACCUGCAGUAAUUUAAGAAAAUUAAUUCUCAAUUCUCAUAACUGUUAUGGUUGUUAACUACAAUUAAAGCCACAGUCUAACAUUUACAGUCAUUUUAAGUCGUGAAAUAUAGCCAAUGAUUUUGAAGAAUGUUCAUGAACUAAAUUAUGUUUUACUUGUAUUUGGUUUCUAGGUUUGGAAGAGAACCAUAAACCAACCACUGAAUUAAAUUGUAAUGACGGUCCUAGACACAUAUGUACUAACACAAAUUGUAGCUGGACUGGCUUCUUGAAAGACGUUGUAUUUGAUUGCCCGCUUGAUAAUGACAAGUUUCAAUGUUCAGUGGAGACGGAUGAAGUAAAGAAAAACCAGGAAGAACAACAAACAGUACCAGUGGCACCGAUAUGCAAAGACAAUAGAAGCUGUGGAUUCCCUACAACAUUUGUCGGUGAAAGUGUAAGAUGCACCAUACAUAUGCAAACACAACUACCAGCAACAUCAAGAGAACCAGACAAUCUGAAGAAUGAAACAGGUAAUUUAUUGUUUACAUUUUGUAUUAGAUUUUAUCACAAUGACAAUCUCUCAGUUCCCCAGAAGAAGAAAAAGCAUUGGGUUGGAAGAUGUGGAUGUAUUAAUACCUGAUGUACAGAGAUACAUUGCAAAAUGAAGGGUCUACUGGACAGAGGUUGAUCUACAGCAGUGGUUCCCAAAUGUUUUAGAGUCCCGUACCCCUUCAAACAUUCAACCUCCAGCUGUGUACUCUGGCACCAGGGUCAGCGUACUCUCAAAUGUUGUUUUUGCCAUCAUUGUAAGCCUUCCACACACAUGAGUGUGAGUUUUAGUCACAACCCGGCUCGUGGGAAGUGACAAAGAGCUCUUAUAGGAUCAGGGCACAAAUAAUAAUAAUCAAUCAUUUUGCUCUUUAUUUUGCCAUCUUACAUAUAAAAUCUUAUUUGUUCACCAAAAAUCGUGAAUAACUCACCACAGGUUAAUGAGAAGUGUGUGCUUGAAAUGAUGCACAUAACUCAGCAAUGUUGGGUUGUAUUGAAGAGAAUCAGUCUUAAAUAAUUUUCCACACACAGUUUGUGCUUGUAUUUAGUUUAAUGGUAGUGAAGGCAGAUAAUCCACGUGGUACGUGGUUGCAAAGGGCAUCAGUGUCGUAACAGCGUGAUAUGCCAAGCCAGGAUACUCUGAGCGCAUCCCAAUCCAGAACUCUGGCAGUGGCUUCUAAUUAAAUUCAAUUUUCACAGAACCGCUUGUUGAGGCUCCCUUGUUCAGAUUUCGGUAAGUGGACUGGAGGCAGGGCAUGAAAGGGAUAACGAAUCCAGUUGUUUGUGUCAUCCAUUUCGGGAAAGUACCUGCAUAAUUGCAUACCCAACUCACUCAGGUGCUUCACUAUAUCACAUUUGACAUUGUCCGUAAGCUUGAGUUCAUGUGCACAUAAAAAAUCAUACAAUGAUGGGAAGACCUGUGUGUUGUCCUUGUUAAUGCAGACAGAGAAGAGCUCCAACUUCUUAAUCAUACCCUCAAUUUUGUCCCACACAUUGAAUAUAGUUGUGGAGAGUCCCUGUAAUCCUAGAUUCAGAUCAUAAAGGUGUGAAAAAACAUCACCUAGAUAGGCCAGUCGUGUGAGAAACUCCAUCAUCAUGCAAGCGGUCAGACAAGAGAUAAUUAUGGUCAGUAAAGAAAACUUUAAGCUCGUCUCUCAAUUUUAAAAAAGACGUGUCAAUACUUUGCUCUUUGAUAACCAGUGCACUUCUGUAUGUUUUAAAAGCAUUACAUGGUCGCUGCCCAUAUCAUUGCAUAGCGCAGAAAAUACACGAGAGUUCAGGGGCCUUGCUUUAACAAAGUUAACAAUUUUCACUCUGUGUCCAAAACGUCUUUCAAGCUGUCAGUCAUUCCCUUGGCAAGAGCCUCUCGGUGGAUGCUGCAGUGUACCCAAGUGGCGUCGGGAGAUACUGCUUGCACGCACGUUACCACUCCACUAUGUCUCACUGUCAUGGCUUUUGCUCCAUCAGUACAGAUACCAACAUGAGCAGCAGCUACAUUUGGUUAUAUAUGGACCAUUAGUGGAAUUCCCACGAGAGAGUUAUGGUUAAUGUGAUUGGAUGUUAAUUAUUUGACUAGGCUACCUGUAUUCAACAUUGUGUUGUUAUUUCGCUGAACACCAGAUGGUUAAAUUUUUAUUUUGGGCAGUGAAACGAGGCUACUCAGGCGAGAGAGAAAAAACUCACCCAAAUGUAUAACCCCGUUGGAAAAUAUAAGGACUGUUUGAAAAUGUGAAAAAAAAGGAACGUUUUUUAAAUGUGAAUCACAUUUUUGUUUGGAGUAACCCUGACGGUAUUGCGCAUACCCCCUUCCCAGUUUGGGAAUACCUGAUAUACAGUAUGUAUCUGCAUGGAUUCAUUUGAGUAUCAGUCGUGUAUUGUUCCUUUGGAGUUCCAUGUCAUAGUUCUCAUGUUUUUCAGAGCCAAAACACAAUAUACCCUGGUGGAUUUGGUUAAUCAUUUGCCUUUGCCUUUGGCAUUAGCGUUGGCAUUGGUGUUGGGAUUUGGAUUAAUCGAUGUCAGGUAAGUUAUCUACAGUAAUAUAAUUGUGCUUUGUAGAGACAUUUUUUAUUCAGAAUAAUUUAUUCAUAAUAGGAGUAUGAUUAAGUGUUGAUAUACUGUAACUCAUUACUGUUGUUUUUCAAUAAUUGCUAUGAUUUUGGAGCACCAACAAAAAUAAAUAUGCAAUCCAACCUUUGUUUUAUUCUCAGAAGAAAAAGGAUUCAUUUGAGACACGUGAUGAGGCGUAUAUAGAAGUGGAUGGAAUGGUAUAAAAAACGAAUGAGGUGGUAUUAUUGCAGGGGUUAACCUAUGGGUGCACUAGUAUGAGCCAUCAUCAGCCAGCAGGCUAUUUUAAUACUAAUCUCAUUGGGGUAAAUUAAUAAAAUGUUUUAAAAGAUAAAUCAAAUCUGCAUGGAUUAGUGUUUGCCAUCAUGUGUGAUGCAGUGAUAAAACACCUGAAAGAAUGCCUACAUUAACAUACAGUACCGGUCAAAAGUUUGGAGACACCUACUCAUUCCAGGGUUUUUCUUAAUCUUUUACUAUUUUAUACAUUGUAGAGUAAUAGUAAAGAAGACAUAAAAACUAUGAAAUAACACAUAUGGAAUCAUGUAGUAACCAAAAAAAGUGUUAAACAAAUCCAAAGAUUUGAAAUUCUUCAAAGUAGCCACCCUUUGCCUUGAUGACAGCUUGGCACGCUCUUGGCAUUCUCUCAACCAGCUUCAUGAGGAAUGCUUGAAGAAGUUCCCACAUAUGCUGAGCAGUUGUUGGCUGCUUUGCCUCCACUCUGCGGUCCAACUCAUCCCAAACAAUCUCAAUUGGGUUGAGUUCGGGUGAUUGUGGAGGACAGGUCAUCUGAUGCAGCACUCCAUCACUCUCCUUGGUCAAAUAGACCUUACACAGCUUGGAGGUGUGUUUUGGGUCAUUGUCCUGUUGAAAACAAAUGAUAGUCCCACUAACCUUACAGUGAAAUGCUUACUUACAGGCCCCUAACCAACAAUGCAGUUUAAAAAAUAUGAAUAAGAAUAAGAAAUAAAUGUAACAAGUAGCUAAAGAGCAGCAGUAAAAUAACAAUAGCAAGACUAUAUACAGGGGGUACCGGUACAGAGUCAAUGUGCACUGGUUAGUUGAGGUAAUAUGUACAUGUAGGUAGAGUUAUUAAAGUGACUAUACAUAGAUAAUAACAGAGUAGCAACGGCAUAAUAGGGGGGG
rnacentral:lncRNA from 13 species